AAAUAAGAAGUAAAAAUUACAUUUAGUUUCGACCUAAAAUCUUGAUGGUACACAUCCUUAUUUA
rnacentral:tRNA from 1 species